GAUGAACGCUGGCGGCGUGCCUAAUACAUGCAAGUCGAGCGAACGGACGAUAAGCUUGCUUCUCUGAUGUUAGCGGCGGACGGGUGAGUAACACGUGGAUAACCUACCUAUAAGACUGGGAUAACUUCGGGAAACCGGAGCUAAUACCGUAUAAUAUUUUGAACCGCAUGGUUCAAAAGUGAAAGACGGUCUUGCUGUCACUUAUAGAUGUAUCCGCGCUGCAUUAGCUAGUUGGUAAGGUAACGGCUUACCAAGGCAACGAUGCAUAACCGACCUGCGAGGGUGAUCGGCCACACUGGAACGGGGACACGGUCCAGACUCCUACGGGAGGCAGCAGUAGGGAAUCUUCCGCAAUGGGCGAAAGCCUGACGCAGCAACGCCGCGUGAGUGAUGAAGGUCUUCGGAUCGUAAAACUCUGUUAUUAGGGAAGAACAUAUGUGUAAGUAACUGUGCACAUCUUGACGGUACCUAAUCAGAAAGCCACGGCUAACUACGUG
rnacentral:rRNA from 1 species